ACUCGUAUUCCCGCCAUUCAUUUCACUAUUCACACACAGAGAGGAAAGCGAGAGAGAGAGAUGAAGAAGAGAGGAAGAGCAACGACGAAGAAGACAUCGGCAGCUGAUUUCCUAACACCGCCACAAGAAGCAAAGACAGUGAACACUCGCAAGAAGUCUACCGUGUCAUCGCCGAAAUCCUUCGAAUUCACGCUCAAUUCUCCGUCCUCAAAUGCUGCAAAUCGCCGGAAAUCACCGAUGAAAUCUUCGCCGCUGCGCAAAACGGAGGUGUCGUCUUCAAUAACUGAGCUGAAAGAAGCCUUGUCGUCUCAUAUUGACUCGAUUAAGCGGCAGGUUGAGCGCUCUCACUCUGACAUUCUCAAGGAGGUCGAUUCUUCUAAUUCUCGCCUACACAAGCGCUUGAAGAUUCAGGCUCAAGCAUGUCAGAACCUAAUGGAUGAGACAGACAAGGAAGUCAAGAAGAUGUCUGAAAGGGUAGCUGAAAGCUGUGAAGCAAUGAAGGCUUCAUAUUCCGAGUUCAUGGUGGAUGCACAAACCACUGCUGCUCGUGUGUGUAAGACAACCAUCCCAGAGAAAGUGCAGUCUCUUGAGAAAGCUAUUGAUUCUCUUCGCAACCGAUAUGGGAUCUUUUCACCAGCUUAAGUUGCUUUAUUCUGUUUCCUGUGUACAGACAUCUCUUCAAAACCGUUAUUCAAUCUUACUACACCGGCUUAUGUUGCCUUAUGUUGUUUCCUGCCUUUCUGGAUCGGAAUAUGCAAAGCUGUAUCAAUCCCAAAAAAUCAGGAAUCAUAAUUGAGCAUGAAUCUUCAACUUGAAUAUUCUUGUGGUUUAUACAUCGACUUUUCAAGAAUGAUGAUAUAAGACACCAUAUUAUUUUGUUUUGGCUGAAAAGAUUCGUUGAAAUGGAAACAUUUCAUGGUUAUGGGAGUUGCCGUAGUCAGCAAAACACCAUAUUCUAAGUAGAAAAAUCUUCAUCUUUCAAGUUGCAUACGUAGAUUGAUAGGCACUCGAUCUUUGAUAGAGGCAUAGAGUUGACACAUUCAACUAGCUAGUUACUACCUCCGUUCGUGAAAGUUCUUUAUGUUUUGAAAUAUGUGUCGAAAAUAUUGACCGUAAAUUUACACUAUUAUACUCCGCAUACAUCAAACAUAACAUGUGAUAUCUUAUUAGAUUUGUUUCAAUAUGUAUAUUAAAAAUACCAACUUUUUAUAAUUUUAUUUUGUAAGGAAUUGGAAAUAGUAAUGGUUAAAUAUUAAAUUGGAAGCACAUGUAAACAGGGGCAGAUCUUGGUUGUGGCUGGGGUGGGCCUGGCCCUCCCGGCCGGAAAAUUUUGUAGUGUAUUUUU